UUUAGGGACUAUAAACAGAUUAGACCACAUAUGGUUAAUGUAGUGUUUUUAUAUUUGUGACAGAUAUGAAUGGCAUUGGAUUAUAACAUUUCUCAGUUCAGCUGGUAAGAUUAGCAACAGGGAAGCUGAUUUCUUCUCUGGUUAUUGGAAGGUCAGGCUGCAGAAAAAGACAAGGAUGCAAACCAAACUUGUCAAACUUUAUUUUAUAACUUUUAAUAAGGAAAGUCACGGCAGCGACGGACAGCACAGCAGCUGUUAAUAAUGACUGUCAGCCCUCGGUGUAAUCACGGAUUUGCAGCAAACACUUUUUACGAGGUUUCCAUAUGAGCUCUCACAUAUGACUGCAGCGUGUUUGGACCGAUGUCUGCUCACAGUGGAUUUAUAUUCAGAGAUAUAGGAGAAAAACUGAGAAAAGGAUUGUUCCAACAACUGCAGCGAGUCGUCCAGAUCUCGAAGAAGCUCAGCGGCUCCAGACCGUAACGCGACAAAAACCACGUUUGACUUCAGGGUAAAGCCUGAUGCUGAGCGCCGUUUCCUCAGUGGAAGGGAGGCUCCCAGAUGUUCCUGAGGAGAGAUCUGCACGGCUCAGAGAAGAAUGCAGAUUCCCUGGGAAACGGAGGAAUCUUUCUGCCAAGCCUCGAGAAAAACUGGCCUCCGUACCAUCACAAUACUACAAACUACUGCUGGCCCAGUCGAGCACGAAGUUAAUUCAGGUUAGGUUAUGGUUUUGGAAGAGGGUUGAGGGGGGGCUAUGAAUUUACAGCGCAUGAUUGACAGCGCUAUGAUCCUCCUCCUGGCACUGAUUGGUUGUUCCUGACAGAGAUGUGUAUUUCUGCAGCAAGAAGGCAGGUAACUAAAAAAAUUACCUCUCAUGUACCAUAAGGAGAGAUCUGCUGUUUAACCGUUUAAAACAGUUUUAACAAAUAUAUA